rnacentral:rRNA from 1 species
AACUUUCAACAACGGAUCUCCUGGAUCUGGCAUCGAUGAAGAACGCAUCGAAAAGCCAUAAGAAAUGUGAAUUGCAGAAUUCAGAGAAUCAUCGAAUCUUUUAACGCACAUUGCGCCCGCCAGUACUCCAGCGAGCAUGCCUGUUCGAGCGUCAU